GUUGCAGAUGGGGAACUUCCCAUAGUUGCGUCACAUGGGGUUGAGAUUGAAGUGUAUAAAACUCUUGAUCCUGGGGUCCGUGUGGUGAUCUUGAAAGCGCUAUGUGACAUUCGUGUUGAGCAAGAAGACAUUCGGAAUUAUAUUGACAACUCUGUUAAACAUGGUAUUCAACUUUCUGUAUUUCGUAAAGAGCGAGUCGGGGGUGAUUCACAAGGAAUUAAUUACUGGUAUGAAGAUGAUCCAAUAAUUGGUCAUCGGUUAUACCGAGAAAUAAGAAAAGUUGAGGUGAAGAGGGCAAAGACAAAAGGUUCCCAGGUCCUUCCCAACGAAACAUACCAGUGGGAAACAGUUGCAACUAAUUUUGAUGAAUUUCAAGAUG
rnacentral:misc_RNA from 1 species